CCUACGGGAGGCAGCAGUGGGGAAUUUUCCGCAAUGGGCGAAAGCCUGACGGAGUGACGCCGCGUGGGGGACGAAGGCCUUCGGGUCGUAAACCCCUGUCAGAGGGAAAGAAGGGUGUUGCCGCGAAUACCGCCGGCAUCUGACGGUACCUUCAGAGGAAGCCCCGGCCAACUCUGUGCCAGCAGCCGCGGUAAGACAGAGGGGGCAAGCGUUGCUCGGAAUCACUGGGCGUAAAGGGCGCGUAGGCGGGAUGGCAAGUCGGUCGUGAAAUCCUUCGGCUCAACCGAGGAACGUCGGCCGAUACUGCCGUUCUUGAGGGAGGCAGAGGAGAGUGGAAUUCCCGGUGUAGCGGUGAAAUGUGUAGAGAUCGGGAGGAACACCGGUGGCGAAGGCGGGUCUCUGGGCAAAACCAAACACUAAAAAGGGAAAGCGUGGGGAGCAAACGGGGGGAGGUACCCCCGGGGGGCGCCCCAAAAACCG
rnacentral:rRNA from 1 species